CCCAUUACUGUCGAUAUAUUUCUUCCAUGUUGAAGUAAAAGGAAUUUAAGCUGAAUAAAAAGUAUUUUGUAAGUGAGAUGCUUCCUUGAAUGUGUAUUUUGUCACUGUAAAACGUUUUGUUCCGGAUUGGUUUUAUCCACAGAUCUCUCCACCGCAAAGGACAUGCCUGUGUUAGUGACUGAAUAUAGUCUACUGACGAGCCUCUGCUCUGAAGUUUUUACCCGGAGAGCACACUCCCUUUCCCCUGGCUAGAUCUCUUCCUAUUCAUUUCAACAACGCGAUAUUGAGCGUCUAUUACGUGAAAGGAGGCUGCUCCUGCUGACGAAGCAGAUACGGAGAACAUUAACACUGACGAAUAAACCGUUUGUAGGUGAAGAGCAGUGGAAAGAGUGUGGGCUGAAAUGGAAGAAUGGCAGAAAGCCAGACCUCACCUAGGUUAUUAUAAAGUGCGCAAUAGCACCCUGGCUCCUCCUUAUUCCCUACAGCCCGCUUUCCACUCCUCAGCGGAUUGUCCCUCUGAAAGGCAUUAUAUUUACUCCUGGAUGGAGACCAAUGUCAUCAGUUCUUUAAAGUACCUGAAGCAGCAUAUCCCUGAAUAGAAAGAAAGAUUCUCCAGCUCCUCCUAAUAUUUGACUGUGGAUCUCUGUAUCUGUGCUGGGGGUACAGGAGGAGGACGGAGGGGGAGAGUACUGGAAGAGACAACUGGAAUUUGAGGGCAUUUCCAGGGCAAGAUAGAAAACUGGACAAUGCAACCCACCUGCAGGCCUCAGGGCACACAAACCCAGGAGCAGUCUGGAACAGGACCCUUCGUGUUUCUGCCUGUGCCUGGAGUUGAACCAGUCUCACAGACUUCUGUACCCAAAUCCUGUGGGGGAGAGAGCUGGAUUCUCAAAACUGGACAUUCCUGAGAGAUCAGGUGAGACCUCCAAUUCUGCUCACAUUCUUGGCCCAAGAGGAACCUGCCUAAUAUCUUCUGGGUACAGGAAGCUAAGAGCAGUCAGAGGCAGGACUCUUCCAGUUUCUGCCUGUGCCCAGAACUGAAAGCCUGUCACGAGGAGUGCUGAGGCACCUGACAGCAGAGGUAAAAACAACUCUUCUGCUCCCAGUGACCUGACUGGAGACCUCAGGACACAAAAACCCAGGAGCAGUCUGGGACAGGAUCCGUUUGGUUUCUGCUGCACCCAUUCCCAUAGCUCGCUGUACCCAGAU
rnacentral:sRNA from 1 species